rnacentral:rRNA from 1 species
GCAUAUCAAUAAGCGGAGGAAAAGAAACCAACAGGGAUUGCCUUAGUUMGCGGCGAAGUGAAGCGGCAAUAGCUCAAAUUUGAAAUCUGGCGUCUUCGGCGUCCGAGUUGUAAUUUGAAGAAGGUAUCUUUGAGGCUGGCUCUUGUCUAUGUUCCUUGGAACAGGACGUCACAGAGGGUGAGAAUCCCGUGCGAUGAGAUGCCCAGUUUCGUGUAAAGUUCCUUCGACGAGUCGAGUUGUUUGGGAAUGCAGCUCUAAGUGGGUGGUAAAUUCCAUCUAAAGCUAAAUAUUGGCGAGAGACCGAUAGCGAACAAGUACUGUGAAGGAAAGAUGAAAAGAACUUUGAAAAGAGAGUGAAAAAGUACGUGAAAUUGUUGAAAGGGAAGGGCUUGAGGUCAGACUUGGUUUACCAGGCCAGCAUCAGUUUGGAUGGCAGGAGAAUAGCAUUGGAAAGUGGCACGGCUUCGGUUGUGUGUUAUAGCCUUUGUUGAUACUGCCUGUCUAGACUGAGGACUGCGUCUUUGACUAGGAUGCUGGCAUAAUGACCUUAAGCCGCCCGUCUUGAAACACGGACCAAGGAGUCUAACGUCUAUGCGAGUGUUUGGGUGUAAAACCCGUACGCGUAAUGAAAGUGAACGUAGGUGAGAGCCUUAGGGUGCAUCAUCGACCGAUCCUGAUGUCUUCGGAUGGAUUUGAGUAAGAGCAUAGCUGUUGGGACCCGAAAGAUGGUGAACUAUGCCUGAAUAGGGUGAAGCCAGAGGAAACUCUGGUGGAGGCUCGUAGCGGUUUCUGACGUGCAAAUCGAUUCGUCGAAUUUGGGUAUAGGGGGCGAAAGACUAAUCGAACCAUCUAGUAGCUGGUUCUGC